rnacentral:rRNA from 1 species
AGUGAACGCUGGCGGUAGGCCUAACACAUGCAAGUCGAACGGCAGCACAGGAGAGCUUGCUCUCUGGGUGGCGAGUGGCGGACGGGUGAGGAAUACAUCGGAAUCUGCCCAGUCGUGGGGGAUAACGUAGGGAAACUUACGCUAAUACCGCAUACGACCUUCGGGUGAAAGAGGGGGAUCGCAAGACCUCUCGCGAUUGGAUGAGCCGAUGUCGGAUUAGCUAGUUGGCGGGGUAAUGGCCCACCAAGGCGACGAUCCGUAGCUGGUCUGAGAGGAUGAUCAGCCACACUGGGACUGAGACACGGUCCAGACUCCUACGGGAGGCAGCAGUGGGGAAUAUUGGACAAAGGGCGCAAGCCUGAUCCAGCCAUACCGCGUGGGUGAAGAAGGCCUUCGGGUUGUAAAGCCCUUUUGUUGGGAAAGAAAUCUUUCAGGCUAAUACCCUGGGAGGAUGACGGUACCCAAAGAAUAAGCACCGGCUAACUUCGUG